rnacentral:rRNA from 1 species
UACGUAGGGGGCGAGCGUUGUCCGGAGUUACUGGGCGUAAAGCGCACGCAGGCGGUCUGCUAAGUUUGGCGUGACAGUUGGUGGCUCAACCACCAAAGUGCUUCGAAAACUGACAGACUUGAGGGCUUCAGAGGGACACGGAAUUCCGGGUGGAGUGGUGAAAUGCGUAGAGAUCCGGAGGAACACCGAAGGCGAAGGCAGUGUCCUGGCGAGUGACUGACGCUGAGGUGCGAAAGCCAGGGGAGCGAACGGG